rnacentral:rRNA from 1 species
UGGGGAAUAUUGCACAAUGGGCGAAAGCCUGAUGCAGCGACGCCGCGUGCGGGAUGAAGGCCUUCGGGUUGUAAACCGCUUUUAAUUGGGAGCAAGCGAGAGUGAGUGUACCUUUCGAAUAAGCACCGGCUAACUACGUGCCAGCAGCCGCGGUAAUACGUAGGGUGCAAGCGUUAUCCGGAAUUAUUGGGCGUAAAGAGCUCGUAGGCGGUUUGUCACGCCUGGUGUGAAAGUCCAUCGCUUAACGGUGGAUCUGCGCCGGGUACGGGCAGGCUAGAGUGCAGUAGGGGAGAUUGGAAUUCCCGGUGUAACGGUGGAAUGUGUAGAUAUCGGGAAGAACACCAAUGGCGAAGGCAGAUCUCUGGGCUGUUACUGACGCUGAGGAGCGAAAGCAUGGGGAGCGAACAGGAUUAGAUACCCGUGGUAGUCCAUGCCGUAAACGGUGGAUGCUGGAUGUGGGACCCUUCCACGGGUUCCGUGUCGGAGCUAACGCGUUAAGCAUCCCGCCUGGGGGAGUACGGC